GAUUGCAGGCUGCAACUCGCCUGCAUGAAGUCGGAAUUGCUAGUAAUCGUGGAUCAGCAUGCCACGGUGAAUACGUUCCCGGGCCUUGUACACACCGCCCGUCACACCAUGGGAGUUGGAAAUGCCCGAAGCCAGUGACCCAACCGUAAGGAGGGAGCUGUCGAAGGUGGAGCCGAUGACUGGGGUGAAGUCGUAACAAGGUAAC
rnacentral:rRNA from 1 species